rnacentral:lncRNA from 1 species
UAAUCUCUCUACAUCUUCGAGUGUUUUCUCUAAGUCAAACACGAUGAAGAGACUUCAUAGUUUCCGGUCAGCGAGAUCCAUGAGCAUCAGCCGGAUUUUGGCGGUUCUUCAGGAUAUGCCUGCAGGCGGCGAGAUGUCUCCUUCUUCCAUGAGACUCUCUUCUCUUGCUUCUCCUUCAUCGUCACCACUGGAAAGCUAAAUCACAAAACGUAUAUGAUUCAGUAGUUUCUGGUGAAUUAUGUUUGAAUAUUAUUUCUGCAUGUUAGAUAAUGUUCAAUUUCCUUUGUUUAUAAAUUUUUUUGUUUUCUUUUUUUUUAUAAAGUUUAUUUGUAAUUUAAUCUCCAGUUUGAUUCAUGAUUGAUUAAGAAAAUAAGAAAUGACGUGAGCCCAUGUUAAACAAGAGAAACAAAACGUCAGCGUGUCAGUUAAGUAUUCGUCACCAAAUAUUCAUCAUAUCUUUCGAA